GUGCUUACUUCGGCAGCAAAUAUACUCAAAUUGGAAUGAUACAGAGAUUAGUAUUACCCCAGUGCAAGGGUGUCAUGCAAAUUUGUGAAGCACUGUAUAUUAAA